GCACUCGGUGUGCAGUAUGUUUGCACGUUUCAAUGGCGUCCACUUUUUGCUCAGGGUGUGACUUCACCACUUGCCCUGAAGAGACAGCAGAGCAUCACACCCUGCAUCACGGACAGAGAGCCGCUUCCAGACGUCUCCAGUGACAAAGACCCCUCGUCCCCGCACCUCAGUGACAAGGGCCUGAGCUCCCCGCUGGUCCGCUCCAGAGAAAACUCCUUCAGACACAGAGGCAGCGUAAACCAGCGGCCUCCCCGCAGCCCCACCACGGCUGUGCCCCUUCGCUCUGCAGACUGUCUGCGGCACGGAAACAGCAGCGACGCUCGGGCCGUGAGAGCGGUCUGUCUGCUGAUGGGUGGAGCAGCCGCAUCCUCGGCACUGGGAUACCUCAAUUCCUGUCCACCCUCCUCCUCCAACAUGGCCGUCCAUGCUCCUGAAGUGACCCACUCCACAGGAUUAUCAGAGAUGAGCGGAGGCAGCUCUUACCAUGCCUGCAGCCAAGCCAUAGAGUCACCGCAUUUUAACAGCUUCGACUUUGAGGGAGAUUCAGAUUUUGAUGCUUUUGACUGUGGAGGGUUUGCUUUUUAAUGGAAUAUGUUUACUUUAUUCGCAGGGUUCCCAGUCGUGGAAAUGUUAGGGAAUUAGAAAAUUUUUAUUUUAAGGACCAGAAAGGUAUGGAAAUGCAUAAACUCUUUAAAAAGUCAUGAAAAUUCCUGUGGGUAUAUGUCUUCAGGAUUGUAGACAUGUGUGCAGACUACUAUAUGUUUUUUAAUGCAUAGUAGUUAAAAGCAUCUGGAAAAAAAUCAUACACAUUUAUUGUCCAUAUGAUUUUGGAUGCUGCAUACUGUCAGGGAUUCUGCACGAUCACAAUCACCACCACAGUCACCAGCCCCUACACACACCUGAGUUUUGGUCACCCACACCUGCACUCUGUAAUCAAGACCUCUUCAUAAACCUCCACACUCAGUCUCCCAUUGUCUGAACUUCAAUUCACUUAUCUGACUCUCUCGUGGUACUAACCUGUCUGUAUUUAUCCCCAGACGCUCCAGUGCUCUCCCAAUCCUGUUUUCCUUGACUCCAGCACAAUUCCCGGUCAACCUUCAAAGGAUACUACACCAAUCACCUCAGAACCCAAUAACUGUUUGUGUUUCUACUCCCCUCUUGACUGUUCCUGCCAUUGCAUUCUGAAACUCAUUCAAUAAACAUACCUGUUAUUGGACUAAUCCUUUGUCUCCAGCCUGUGUUAUGACACAUACAAAGUUGUUUGUUAAUCUCUUUUCAGCAAAAGACAAAAAUAAUUACAAUUAGAAUAUGUGAAGAUGAAAAUGAUUAUAUUGGAAAAUGAAGCGUAUUUUUAGGAUCAUUAUGACUUUAUACAUUGUGAUUUAAUGUUCAUGAUAAUUUAUCACAUUCCUUUAAUACAAAAUAUUAUUUCUAAUAUUUUUCUUUUAAUUUUUGCACGAAAUAUGACCCAGAAAUCUCCUUGAAAGCUUUUGUGAGAAUCAUCCAGCGUGCCCCUUUUAACUUGUUCUGGCUAUUGUAUGUUUCAAAUAUAAUACACAUUAUGUUCCAAUAAUGUGUAGAGCUCUUAACCCUUAUUAUUAUUAUUUCUUAUUUAUCGAAUUGAAAUGAAAGUGUUAAAAAGUUUUAUAUGUCAGACAUUUGUGGAUAAAGUGAUGUAGUUUGUUUUGAUUACAAAAAUAGUCAUUAUUAUUAUUAUUAUAUUAUUACUACUGUAGGACUUUAAAAAGAUUUUAUUGUGACAAGAUUCAUUUACUUUUACAAUAUUUUUAAAAACUUCUCAUGUGCCCUUUUCUGUGACUUCUUCCCACUUUGCAUAAUUCUUGUUUGUAACAAAAUAGAUUUACAGAAUUAUUAUAUUCACUUUUUUUCCUAAUCUUUUUGCUCACAUACUUUCUCUGGG
ensembl:lncRNA